GCGGGGGAAGACGCACGGGCGGGCUCGGCUUUCCCGGGGAGCGGCCCGGGACUGCACCCCGACCGGCGCCUCCCCGCUGCGCGCUGCCCUCGGCCUCGCCCCGGGCCCGGGCGGAUGAGCCGCGCGCCCGGGGGACAUGGAAGCGCUGACGCUGUGGCUUCUCCCCUGGAUAUGCCAGUGCGUGUCGGUGCGGGCCGACUCCAUCAUCCACAUCGGUGCCAUCUUCGAGGAGAACGCGGCCAAGGACGACAGGGUGUUCCAGCUGGCUGUAUCGGACCUAAGCCUCAACGAUGACAUCCUGCAGAGCGAGAAGAUCACCUACUCCAUCAAGGUCAUCGAGGCCAACAAUCCGUUCCAGGCCGUGCAGGAAGCAUUUUGCUGCAGCCACAAAUGCUGGUGCUUCCUGGUGGUCCAGUGCCUAAGACCCCGUGCUCCCACUGUAGGGGGCUGGGUUUGAUCUCUGGUCUAGGAACUAGAUCCCACAUGCUGCAAUGAAGAUCAAAGAUCCCACGUGCCACAAAGCUCCACACAGUUAAAUAAAUAAAUAUUAAAA
rnacentral:lncRNA from 1 species